CGUGGUUCUCAUGUCCGGGCGGCCUUGAGCAGUGAUUGAUAUGGAGUUUGUGUAAAUUGCGACAGGGUUGCAAUUGGAAAGGGCGCAGACUGAACUCUACCGGACGGCUGGAGGCCUCUGGCUUUCCGGUCCCGCAGACCCUGCAGAUAUUGGGAUCAGUUACCGUAUUUGUGAUGAUGUGAUUCCACAAGCAGGGAGGGAGUUUGAGGUGAUGGGGAUCCGUUUCUGUGAGGACGUGUGGGAGUGAGACGGUGACUGAGGAAACAGCCUUGCUGAGGAGAGUGAGUCAGGAGGAUACCCGGAGCAGGCAAUGAAGAGGUGAGCGAAGGUGAAGUGAAUUUGAAGAUGAACCGUGCUGGUACGUCGCUGAAUCAACACAGCCAUUUGGAGAGUAGAGGCUGAGGCAGAGGUGUUCCAAUGCCUGUAGAACUGGCCAAGGUGUGAGGCAGGUUGGCUCUGGUGUCAAGCCACUAGAGAAAUCGAGGGCCAUGAACUCUGGGCCUGAAGUGAGAUGCUGGGCGGCAUGAUCGAGGCCUGGUGUGUUUUGUUGCAGCACAACCUGGGAGCUAGCGCAAGGUAUUAUAUGCUGUUUGGGCAAUUUAAACUCUAGGGCAAUGGACUAGAAGGACAUUGCUUACUCUCUCCCACUAUGUUCACUGCUCUCUCCAUGGUGCUGAAGCUAUGAAGACUGCCCUGGGUGCCUGCUCCGUACCCCCAAUAUGACAGACUCAUACUGAGGCUUUGUGCCGACCAGGCUGCUCCUGGAUUCAGACUUAAUGUCUGGAUUUGUUUUGGAAUGUUUUUGCUCACCUCUUUUGUUUGCCUGAGUUGUGUUUCUGCCUCUUUCUCUGUGCGUAGGGUGUUGGUCUUUAUUUUAUUAUUUUUUUAAUUUGGGUCUUUUGGGCUUCUUCCUUUGCGGCUGCC